UCCUUUUUCAAAUUUCUAAACCGGUCCCUCCCAUCACCACAAACAUUGCAAAACUGCGUACUCCAGCUUUCCUGAUAACACAUCUAAUGAGAUACUGGAUAUGGUUAUAAUUCAAUGCAUAACUAGUUCAUUUCUCUCAUUAGUCUUCCUGUAACGACUUCAGACAAAACUAUUGAUUUCCAAUUUUCAUAGAUAAACAAAGAUCAUGAAACACAAUACAGAAUUUAAUUUGUCCCAUCAAUUUUAUUCAGUGGCAUUGGUCAUAGGAUUUUAUUUGAGUCUGGUUUUCAUUUGUUUUUGGGGCUGUGCCAAUUUUAUAGAAACUGUUCAUUAGCUUUGUUUUGGAUUUUGUUAUGUAUACAUUAGAAACAUCUCUUUUUUUCCUCUAUGCUGACCA